rnacentral:misc_RNA from 1 species
AAAUCUUUCCUUAUGCAAUUGAUUGUGUUAGUGAUUGUAUAUGGGUCCCUGUAAUGUUAUUGUGUAUCUUAUCUAGAAAGCUUGCUUUUCUCUCUAUUGUAAAUUUGUCAUGAUAGUGCCCGAAAAUGAUGGAUGAUGACUGAUUUUUUCCAUGCUGCUGCAGCGAAAGAGUUUAAGACAAUCGGAUCUCAAUAAUUAGGACUAAAGAGUGUUGAUUGUGGCUGGAAUAGAGAAAAUAU